rnacentral:rRNA from 1 species
AUUGAACGCUGGCGGCAUGCCUUACACAUGCAAGUCGAACGGCAGCACGGGGGCAACCCUGGUGGCGAGUGGCGAACGGGUGAGUAAUGCAUCGGAACGUGCCCCGUAGCGGGGGAUAACCAGUCGAAAGACUGGCUAAUACCGCAUACGCUCCACGGAGGAAAGCAGGGGAUCGCAAGACCUUGCACUAUGGGAGCGGCCGAUGCCCGAUUAGCUAGUUGGUGAGGUAAAGGCUCACCAAGGCGACGAUCGGUAGCUGGUUUGAGAGAACGACCAGCCACACUGGGACUGAGACACGGCCCAGACUCCUACGGGAGGCAGCAGUGGGGAAUUUUGGACAAUGGGCGCAAGCCUGAUCCAGCCAUGCCGCGUGCGGGAUGAAGGCCU